CCCAGCACUUACGUGCUGGGCUUUACUCUGUCGCCGUCUUCGACGGCU
rfam:Acidobacteria bacterium 13_1_20CM_3_53_8 13_1_20cm_3_scaffold_71, whole genome shotgun sequence.